rnacentral:rRNA from 1 species
AUACGGAGGAGGCAAGCGUUGUUCGGAAUUACUGGGCUUAAAGCGCGUGUAGGCGGGCGGGCAAGUGUCUUGUGAAAUCCCUCGGCUCAACCGGGGAACUGCAGGGCAAACUGCUCGUCUUGAGGCAGGUAGGGGUGCAUGGAACUCUAGGUGGAGCGGUGAAAUGCGUAGAUAUCUAGAGGAACGCCGGUGGCGAAAGCGGUGCACUGGGCCUGAUCUGACGCUGAGACGCGAAAGCGUAGGGAGUGAACGGGAUUAGAAACCCCAGUAGUCC